UUCGCAAUGCCCGAAAGGGUGACGAAGCGACGCCGCGUGUGGGAAGAAGGCCUUCGGGUUGUAAAGCCCUGUCAGGAGUUAAGAAAUGUAGACUCGCCAAUAUCGGGUCUAUUUGACAAAGGCUCCAAAGGAAGCCACGGCUAACUCUGUGCCAGCAGCCGCGGUAAUACAGAGGUGGCGAGCGUUGUUCGGUAUUAUUGGGCGUAAAGAGCACGUAGGUGGUUUUGUAAGUCAGGUGUGAAAGCCUUCUGUUCAAAGGAAGAACGGCAUCUGAAACUGCAGAUCUUGAGUGUAGGAGGGGAGAGUGGAACUUCUGGUGGAGCGGUGAAAUGCGUAGAUAUCAGAAGGAACACCGGCGGCGAAAGCGACUCUCUGGCCCGAAACUGACGCUGAGUGUGCGAAAGCUAGGGGAGCAAACGGGAUUAGAUACCCCGGUAGUCCUAGCCGUAAACGAUGGGCACUAAGUAGAGGGGUUUU
rnacentral:rRNA from 1 species